rnacentral:rRNA from 1 species
UACGGAGGAUGCGAGCGUUAUCCGGAUUUAUUGGGUUUAAAGGGUGCGUAGGCGGGCUUUUAAAUCAGCGGUAAAAAUUCGGGGCUCAACCCCGUCCGGCCGUUGAAACUGGGGGCCUUGAGUGGGCGAGAAGAAGGCGGAAUGCGUGGUGUAGCGGUGAAAUGCAUAGAUAUCACGCAGAACCCCGAUUGCGAAAGCAGCCUUCCGGCGCCCUACUGACGCUGAGGCACGAAAGUGCGGGGAUCGAACAGG